AGUGAACGCUGGCGGUAGGCCUAACACAUGCAAGUCGAACGGCAGCACAGAGGAGCUUGCUCCUUGGGUGGCGAGUGGCGGACGGGUGAGGAAUACAUCGGAAUCUACUCUGUCGUGGGGGAUAACGUAGGGAAACUUACGCUAAUACCGCAUACGACCUACGGGUGAAAGCAGGGGACCUUCGGGCCUUGCGCGAUUGAAUGAGCCGAUGUCGGAUUAGCUGGUUGGCGGGGUAAAGGCCCACCAAGGCGACGAUCCGUAGCUGGUCUGAGAGGAUGAUCAGCCAAACUGGAACUGAGACAAGUGCGAGACUCCUACGGGAGGCAGCAGUGGGGAAUAUUGGACAAUGGGCGCAAGCCUGAUCCAGCCAUACCGCGUGGGUGAAGAAGGCCUUCGGGUUGUAAAGCCCUUUUGUUGGGAAAGAAAUCCAGCUGGCUAAUACCCGGUUGGGAUGACGGUACCCAAAGAAUAAGCACCGGCUAACUUCGUGCCAGCCGCCGCCGUAA
rnacentral:rRNA from 1 species